GCACCGGCUAACUACGUGCCAGCAGCCGCGGUAAUACGUAGGGUGCGAGCGUUGUCCGGAAUUACUGGGCGUAAAGAGCUCGUAGGUGGUUUGUCGCGUCGUCUGUGAAAUUCCGGGGCUUAACUCCGGGCGUGCAGGCGAUACGGGCUGACUUGAGUGCUGUAGGGGAGACUGGAAUUCCUGGUGUAGCGGUGAAAUGCGCAGAUAUCAGGAGGAACACCGAUGGCGAAGGCAGGUCUCUGGGCAGUAACUGACGCUGAGGAGCGAAAGCAUGGGUAGCGAACAGGAUUAGAUACCCUGGUAGUCCAUGCCGUAAACGGUGGGCGCUAGGUGUAGGGGGCUUCCACGUCUUCUGUGCCGUAGCUAACGCAUUAAGCGCCCCGCCUGGGGAGUACGGCCGCAAGGCUAAAACUCAAAGGAAUUGACGGGGGCCCGCACAAGCGGCGGAGCAUGUGGAUUAAUUCGAUGCAACGCGAAGAACCUUACCUGGGCUUGACAUAUACAAGACAGGCGUAGAGAUACGUCCUCCCUUGUGGUUUGUAUACAGGUGGUGCAUGGUUGUCGUCAGCUCGUGUCGUGAGAUGUUGGGUUAAGUCCCGCAACGAGCGCAACCCUUGUCUUAUGUUGCCAGCAUUUGGUUGGGGACUCAUGAGAGACUGCCGGGGUCAACUCGGAGGAAGGUGGGGAUGACGUCAAAUCAUCAUGCCCCUUAUGUCCAGGGCUUCACACAUGCUACAAUGGUCGGUACAACGCGCAGCGACACUGUGAGGUGGAGCGAAUCGCUGAAAGCCGGCCUUAGUUCGGAUUGGGGUCUGCAACUCGACCCCAUGAAGUCGGAGUCGCUAGUAAUCGCAGAUCAGCAACGCUGCGGUGAAUACGUUCCCGGGCCUUGUACACACCGCCCGUCACGUCAUGAAAGUUGGUA
rnacentral:rRNA from 1 species